rnacentral:rRNA from 1 species
UACGUAAGGUCCGAGCGUUGUCCGGAAUCAUUGGGCGUAAAGCGUACGUAGGCGGUUAAGCAAGUUAGAAGUGAAAUCCUACAGCUCAACUAUAGUAAGCUUUUGAAACUGGACAACUUGAGGUAUGGAAGGGAAAGUGGAAUUCCUAGUGUAGCGGUGAAAUGCGCAGAUAUUAGGAGGAAUACCGGUGGCGAAGGCGACUUUCUGGCCAUAAACUGACGCUGAUGUACGAAAGCGUGGGUAGCAAACAGG